UACGUAGGCAGCAAGCGUUGUUCGGAGUUACUGGGCGUAAAGGGUGUGUAGGCGGUUCUUUAAGUUUGGUGUGAAAUCUCCCGGCUCAACUGGGAGGGUGCGCCGAAUACUGAGGGACUAGAGUACGGGAGAGGAAAGUGGAAUUCCUGGUGUAGCGGUGAAAUGCGUAGAUAUCAAGAGGAACACCGGUGGUGUAGACGGCUUUCUGGACCGUAACUGACGCUGAGACACGAAAGCGUGGGUAGCAAACAGG
rnacentral:rRNA from 1 species